rfam:Pedobacter heparinus DSM 2366, complete genome.
AAUGAGGAAGCCGAAAAUCAAUAACAGAGUAGGCA